rnacentral:rRNA from 1 species
UGGGUCACUGCCACACUCCCGCCAUCGAUGCCUCUGGGGGUGGUUAAGGCGAUCAUGGACUAAUCUCUUCGAUUUAUUCGGCUCAUGAACCCUUCCGGCCCAGGUCCGGAUCGCCCUGGGCCUGCUGCCUCAACAUGUGCGGCGCCGUGCAUUGUUCCGACAUCGCCAUCCUCGGGUGUUCACCGAAAACCGCCCAUUGAUCGAACACGAUCGGGUCCCCAGUGUCUGUGAAAUUCCCCUGGGUGGUGGCCUCUUGUCCGACGGGGGCCAUCUAAGCCCG